UUAAAAUUGAAAUGCAUCUUCUGCAGACACCGGGUUAAGAGGGUCUCUGGAGCCUGCAUCCAGUGUUCCUACGGUCGCUGCCCGGCCUCCUUCCAUGUCACGUGUGCCCAUGCUGCUGGGGUACUGAUGGAGCCUGAUGAUUGGCCUUAUGUGGUGAACAUUACAUGCUUUCGACAUAAGGUCAACCCCAAUGUGGUAAGAUGUGCCCUCCCUUCCUCAGUGCUAAGACCGUGUCUGGAUUUUCUCCUGUUUUAGACUACCUCCCAGACAUAAUGUGCUUUAUUCUGUAAUAUUACUCAUUGUUGACAUGUCUAGACCGUGAGUUCCUUGAGGGCAGGGAUU
rnacentral:sRNA from 1 species